rnacentral:rRNA from 1 species
GACAGAGGUGCCAAGCGUUAGGCGGAAUCACUGGGCUUAAAGCGUGUGUAGGCGGGUCGUUAAGUACCUUGUGAAAUCCCCCGGCUCAACCGGGGAACGGCUGGGUAUACUGGCGAUCUUGAGCCACCUAGGGGCAGUCGGAACAAGUGGUGGAGCGGUGAAAUGCGUUGAGAUCCACAGGAACUCCGGUGGCGAAGGCGGCCUGCUGGACCCCAUCUGACGCUGAGGCGCGAAAGCCAGGGGAGCGAACGGG